rnacentral:rRNA from 1 species
UACAGAGGGUGCGAGCGUUGUCCGGAAUCACUGGGCGUAAAGGGCGCGUAGGUGGCGACCCAAGUCGAUGGUGAAAGCUCGCCGCUCAACGGCGAGUCGGCCACCGAUACUGGGUUGCUGGAGCACUGUAGAGGCAGAUGGAAUUCCGGGUGUAGCGGUGGAAUGCGUAGAGAGUCCGGAAGAACGACCGGUGGCGAAGGCGGUCUGCUGGGCAGUUGCUGACACUGAGGCGCGGACAGCGUGGGGAGCAAACAGG